GGCGGGUUUGUCUUUGGAGUGCUUUCUUGAGAAAGGAGUGCUCUCUGCAAACCCUCUCUCCCUUCCCUCUCUUCACCCUGGAGAUUGUCUUUACAUUCAGCUUGAGACUGCGCUGAAAGAUCCUUGGUACCUCUGUGGUCUCUUGAGUGGACUGCCCGACCCAGUGGGCAAGGAGCCCCCACGUCUGGCAGACCAAGCCAGCCCAUUCCUCACAUGUCAUGGAUUUUCCUGGAGGGAAACAGCGGAUGCCACAUGGUCAUGGCUUGAAAGGAUUCCAUGCUGUCUGCACAAAUAGAGACUGGAGCCUCUGGGAACAGCCUUGCUCUCACCUCACUCCCAGAAAGCCUCCCUGCCCUGGCCCGUGCAAACAGGCAGUGAAUUGUUGCUCUCACUUCUACACACUGAUGUACUGUGGGGCUGAGGCUUGGGGUUUUUGCCUUAAAAAAAAUAAAUCUCUUCAUCUCCUUUCUGCAUUGGACAUGCUUGUCUCUGGGGACUUUUCCUUCCCAGACAGCCCUGAGUGACACGGACAAGAGGAUUCUUGGGAGGGGCCUGACUGAACUGCAGCCACCUAGGCAUUACCAGUGUGGUUGAGAAGACGGAAAGCUGAUGAGCGAUCUGGUGAACUCCGUAGACUGUGGCUAU
rnacentral:lncRNA from 1 species